rnacentral:rRNA from 1 species
GUCUUUUUGAAAAUAAUUUUAAGUCUAAUCUGCCAAUUGAUUUUAAAAAUUAAAAGGCCGCAGUAUUUUGACUGUGCAAAGGUAGCAUAAUCAUUAGUCUUUUAAUUAAGGUCUAGAAUGAAGGAUUGAACGAAAUAAAAUCUGUCUCAUUUUAAUUAAUAUUAAAAUUUAAUAUUUAAGUUAAAAAACUUAAAUAAAAUUAAAAGACGAGAAGACCCUAUAGAAUUUUAUAAUUUAAAUUAAAUAAUUUUAUAAAGUAUUAUUAAUUUUAUUAAAUUUUUAUUAUUUUAUUGGGGUGAUAAAAAGAUAAAAAUAACUCUUUAAUAAAUUUAUUCAUAAAUUAAUGAUUUAUUAAUAGAUCCUAUAUUAUAGAAUAAUAAAUUAAAUUACCUUAGGGAUAACAGCGUAAUUUUUUUUAAAAGUUCAUAUUAAUAAAUUAGAUUACGACCUCGAUGUUGGAUUAAGAUAUAUAAUUAGGUGCAAAAGUUUAAUUAUAAGGUCUGUUCGACCUUUAAAUUCUUACA